CUGAAUAUGAAAGCUAGCCUUGAGAAGGAGGUAGAUGCUACUGGUUAGAUGGCAUUUUGUUAAGCUGCUUGUCAAGAACCUCACCACAGCAGAAGACAUGGAUGCAGGGAGUUCACCAGUCCAGAGACUGAAGCUCUUCUGAGCCCUCACUUGAGAGGAAUUUCAAUGGUUCCUUUGGCUGAAGAGCCAAUGCAGAGACUGGAAGGACCAAUAAAAGGACAAGAAGGAUGUCUGGAGAUCUUUGAGAUAUUUCAGGCUGCUGCAUGUGGGGUCUGUCAGACAGACAAGUCAACUGCCAGUAAUGUUUAAUAGUGUGGGAAAAUGAGAAGUGUUUAACGGAACUCUGGCAGAUGCAACCUACUGCAUGUCUACCUCUCACAGGAAAAGGGUUGUGAUGGCCUUAGACAUGGAAGUACAAAGUUUAAACUGUUAUGGCAUAGUACUCAAUUCACUGGUAGCUGCCAUCUAUUCCUAAAGAUCGAAUGAAGUAUUUCACCUUUGAGCACCUUUAAAUAUCAUUAAACAUCAUUGCUGCCUUUUUGUAGACACAAAUGUCUGUUACCUCUGAGAUUGUUAUGGACCAAGUUCUUUUCUCCCUGCCCUUGCUGACAUGCUAGUGAAGAGCAAGUUAGCAAAGAUUGGGUCUAAUUAGUACUGUGCC
ensembl:lncRNA